rnacentral:tRNA from 1 species
CAUUAGAUAACUUAAAGUAAGUGCUGGUCUCUUAAACCAUAAAAUAGUAAAUUUACGAAUACUUCUAAUG